rnacentral:rRNA from 1 species
UACGUAGGGUGCAAGCGUUAUCCGGAAUUAUUGGGCGUAAAGAGCUCGUAGGCGGUUUGUCGCGUCUGCUGUGAAAACCCGAGGCUCAACCUCGGGCCUGCAGUGGGUACGGGCAGACUAGAGUGCGGUAGGGGAGAUUGGAAUUCCUGGUGUAGCGGUGGAAUGCGCAGAUAUCAAGAGGAACACCUGAGGUGAAGACGGGUUGCUGGGCCAACACUGACGCUGAGGCGCGAAAGCCAGGGGAGCAAACGGG